rnacentral:rRNA from 1 species
GACGAACGCUGGCGGCGUGCUUAGCACAUGCAAGUCGAACGGAAAGGCCCUGCUUUUGUGGGGUGCUCGAGUGGCGAACGGGUGAGUAACACGUGAGUAACCUGCCCUUGACUUUGGGAUAACUUCAGGGAACUGGGGCUAAUACCGGAUAGGAGCUCCUGCUGCAUGGUGGGGGUUGGAAAGUUUCGGCGGUUGGGGAUGGACUCGCGGCUUAUCAGCUUGUUGGUGGGGUAGUGGCUUACCAAGGCUUUGACGGGUAGCCGGCCUGAGAGGGUGACCGGCCACAUUGGGACUGAGAUACGGCCCAGACUCCUACGGGAGGCAGCAGUGGGGAAUAUUGCACAAUGGGCGGAAGCCUGAUGCAGCAACGCCGCGUGCGGGAUGACGGCCUUCGGGUUGUAAACCGCUUUCGCCUGUGACGAAGCGUGAGUGACGGUAAUGGGUAAAGAGGCACCGGCUAACUACGUG